GCCUGGGUGGCUUAGUUGGUUGAGCGUCUGACUUUGGCUCAGGUUAUGAUCUCACAGUUCGUGGGUUCGAGCCCCGCAUCAGGCU
rnacentral:tRNA from 1 species